CAGAAACCCCAGAAAAUGCCAUUGCAAGUAAACAUGUCCAUUCACCAUUUAAAGUUCAUGCAGAUGUUCAGCUUCCAAAUGGAUGUUGUGAAAAGGGGAAAUAUAUGUUUCUUGGUGAUGCGGGAAUGCAUCUGGGUAAUGGACUAGAGCAUUGGUGAGAGAGGUCCAGUGCUAAAGCCUUUGGACUGAAUCAUAGACAGUUUGCCAAACCAAGGCCUUAUCUGCAGUGAACACUAAAAGAUCACCAAUGAAGAACUUCACAGAAGAAAUGUAGUGUAAGGAAGAAUUUGACUACAAGAUGGCUAACAGGAUGCAGUAGGAAACUGUUACAAGCAAAAGAGGUAGCAUGGAAGAAGCAUGAAGAAAAGACUGGAGAGGGGUAUAUGCAGAUAAUAUUCAACGCCUACAAUAAGUCUUGAUGACUGUAUGUCAUAUUUUAAUAUCACUUUUAUUAUCCCUGAUUUAUUACAAUAAAAAGUGACUUUUUAAAUAAAUGAAAAAUAGGCAAAUGAGAAUGUGGAGACUUUUCCUAUUUUAAUGGCACUGUUACACAAUGUCUUGGGUCAGGGGGAGAGUUUCUUGUGCGUAAGUUUUUAAUAUAAGAAGAAAGGCUGUGGUGUUGUUGGUUUUCUGAUGUAGCCUCCUUGGGGGAGAUCUGGCAAGCAGCAAGGAUGUUUGUUCUCUGCCUGAAUCUCUAACUAGAGUUAAUCCUUGAAGCACAGUUGCUCCCUGGGAACUGGGCACUGGUUUGGACUGAGGUCUUUGAAAGAGGAGAUUGCCUGCAUACUG